UAUCUUUGCACGCUGAUUCACUUAAAACGAAUCGCAUACAUAAAAAUCAUUUAAAAUAAUAUUGGCAUG
rnacentral:ncRNA from 1 species